rnacentral:rRNA from 1 species
ACGGAGGGUGCGAGCGUUAUCCGGAUUCACUGGGUUUAAAGGGUGCGUAGGUGGGCAGGAAAGUCAGUGGUGAAAUCUCCGGGCUUAACCCGGAAACUGCCGUUGAUACUAUUUGUCUUGAAUACCGUGGAGAUGAGCGGAAUAUGUCAUGUAGCGGUGAAAUGCUUAGAUAUGACAUAGAACACCAAUUGCGAAGGCAGCUCGUUACACGAAUAUUGACUCUGAGGCUCGAAAGCGUGGGGAUCAAACAGGA